rnacentral:rRNA from 1 species
CAGCAGCCGCGGUAAUACAGAGGGUGCGAGCGUUAAUCGGAUUUACUGGGCGUAAAGCGUGCGUAGGCGGCUUUUUAAGUCGGAUGUGAAAUCCCUGAGCUUAACUUAGGAAUUGCAUUCGAUACUGGGAAGCUAGAGUAUGGGAGAGGAUGGUAGAAUUCCAGGUGUAGCGGUAAAAUGCGUAGAGAUCUGGAGGAAUACCGAUGGCGAAGGCAGCCAUCUGGCCUAAUACUGACGCUGAGGUACGAAAGCAUGGGGAGCAAACAGGAUUAGAUACCCGCGUAGUCCCUGUCUCUUAUAC